GGCAGCGUGGCAUAGUGGUUUGAGUGUUGAAUUAGGACUCUGAAAACCAGGGUUCAAAUCCCCACUCAGUUA